AAACUUUUAACAACGGAUCUCUUAGUUCUAGCAUCGAUGAAGAACGCAGCGAAAUGCGAUAAGUAAUGUGAAUUGCAGAAUUCAGUGAAUCAUCGAAUCUUUGAACGCACAUUGCGCCCGCCAGUAUUCUGGCGGGCAUGCCUGUUCGAGCGUCAUU
rnacentral:rRNA from 1 species